UGGGAUUGAAAUGGAGCCGUUUGACUGCGGGUGCGAGGACUCCAUUGAGCAUCCUCGGUAUAACAUAAUUUAUCAAGGAAACAUAGUAUCAGUCAAAAAUACGAGGCUCAAAGGAUGAAAAAAUGAGGGCUUGCUCUUUUCUUAUUUCUCUGCAGGAUCAAGGAUGCUGUUGACAGUUGAGGAAUUCAUGCUGUCUUUUCUAAGACACAGAUCAAGGUUGCUUUUGAAUGCACUAUCAGUUGUUAAAGCCACCGUUUCUUUUUCAGAUGAUUACAUUUUUGUCUCUUGCUCUUUGGUUUCAGACAUUACACGAUGAUCUACUGUCUGGAAAGAUCCGCUCCAACAGAAUGUUCCUUUGGAGGAAUCCCGCCACCUCACUCCGACUAAAGCAGCAUCUUAAGAUAAGGACACUAAGUUGGAGUGAGCAGCGCGUAAGUAAAAAUGCCAUCCAUCAUGAAUAUUUUUACUCUCAGGGGUGUUACAUUUGAAAGGUGUUUACUUUCUGUGUUUUUCUUCAAUAGAUGUUCGAGCUCCUGCGGUUCAUUGAGGUGGCAACAAACAUUUCUAAAAAAAUAAAGAGAGGCGAGAUUCAUCUGCUUGAUUUCGUUUUUGACGUCAUGCUCCCAGAGGUGAGUAGAUCAAACUAUAUAGCUUGCUUUGAAAAAUGAUGAUAUUGUUAAGAGGUUGUUCUUAUUCAUUUGGAAAGCUCAAGAACAACAAUUAACCCAUACUGCAUAACUUCAAUUGUUCACAUUAUUUGACUGUUUUUCAGCUUUUGAUCAAAGCACUGAAGGAGCAUGGCAUCAACCGGUUCAGAGCAGAGCUGAUGAUGGCCUGUGGCAACGUGUUUUAAGCCCCCCACCACACCGACGGCAGUGCUGAAUUUUGUAUAUAUAUAUAUUUUUUUUACUGUUCACAAUUUUGUUUGGAAAAAAUUAAAGAAAUCUUCAAAGCAGUUGUAUGACAAUUUCCCAUUUCUUUACACAGUCUGUAAUGAUAUCGCUAUUCAAUUGUUUUUGCUAUAUGGCUCUUCUGAACCUUAAAGAGAUCAUGUGACUUGUGUCUCUACAACUAUUGUAUACUUGGAUUUUGCACAGUCAAGCAAUCCUGAAGAGGUUCACCAGGAAGCACACCAUUUCAUAAAUUAUGUCCCUGGUUACACAAUGUUACUAAAGGAUGGGGGGAGUAAAUUUGUGCAGCAACAUAAGCACUCUCAUAAAACAUAAUUAUGAACAACAGAAAAUAUGUGAGGGUCAAGGCAACAUUGUUGACAUUAAACGAGGUCCUAAUAGGAGUGGAGAAACAAGGUCACAGAGAAGUUAAGAAACAUUGAUGUGCUGUGUAAUAAAGCUAUUGGAGAGAAAAGUUAGAAAACACUGUUAUAUGAUGUGUAACGAGAGGUUAAAACAGUCCAUACUUGUAGCAAACUCUUACAAAAGAAUUUGAGUAAGAUGAUAACUUCUACAUACAUUUACCUAUUCUGACAAAUUAUCAGAAUAUGAGGACAUCAGGCUAUAUAUACAUAUUACUGUAAACUUCAGAAUUAAAUCAGAACAAAACAGUAGUCAUAAUUAAUACAUAAACGUUUUAUUUUGAUUUUUAGCUCAAUAAUAAAUUUAAUUCGAUUCUUAUGGAAUGAACGGAGCAAAAAAAAAAGGAUCCGGCGACUAAAUCCGACUACCUGAAGUAUUUCGGCGCCGGAAGUCCGCCAACGAGAAAGCCUUUCCACCGGAAGUAAUUGUUUUGGGUCCGCCAAUCGGAGGAACUUAUUGCGUUUUGUAAAUGUGGUUUUCUAUCUUUGGGUCCGCCAUCUUGCGCUGCAUCUGGUCACCUCUCCCAGGUUUCUCUGAUAAGUUCCAUUUACUUGAACGAUCAAAGUCACGUGAGCAUCUAGCCGUCAUGCGAUUGGCUGAUUCUCUCACGAGCGCUGCAGCGGUCGCGAGCGCUUCCGUCAAACGUUUUAAAAAGCCACAGCUCGCGAGUCCGAUCGGCGCUUCGGUUUGAGUCUCGACCGUUUCACCCGCAUCAUCGUGAGAAUGAGGAUAAAGAGGAGCCCACACGGGAAGAAACACAGUUUUAAUGAACUUUAAAGUGAAUAAUUCACUGACAGUGAAAGAUGUUUGCUCUUUACUCGGAGUUUGUGCCGCGGAUUUUCGGCUGGAACAUUCGAGAAUAUUUUACCGCCAACAGUCGACGCGCCGAGCUAGCUAACAGAGGUGAACAGCAGAAGCUUAAAGGGUUAGCUGGGUCAGUAUAUUGAGGUGUUAGCAAACCUACAGCUUUAUAAUGGUGGACAGCUGAAAGGUAAGAGGCAGACACUCACUGUACUAUGCUGUGCCCUCAUUCUAGUCUCUGGGGAAUCGAUUUAAAAGCAUAAUAUUUUAGUGCUGUUAGUGCUUAUGUUCAACUCUUUACAUGUCAGUGAAAAAUCCCCGGGUCAUUACAUGAAAUCUGUGCCUUUUCAGCUUAGAAAACUUAAUUUAAACUGUAUUUAAUUGUUAAUUUUUAAGUAUCCAGGAAUCAAAGAAUGUUUAAAGUGACAGGAAGUGAUAUUUUGCCAUCUCAGGCUGUAUUAAUUUAUAUUUUAUAACUGUUUUUCUCCUCACUGUUUUCAUAAUCUUGUCAACCCUGUUACCGACAUAAACUUAACAAAAUACAAUAUUUCUAAUUAGAAUUAUGCAAUAUAUGGUACAUAUAUUAGCAGUACUUUAGUCCCUCCAUUGAGAUCAUUUUAUUUUGUGGAUAUUUUUCUCCAAUUAGAUAUUUGUCAUUCAGAUGAUCAAAUAUAACCUAAUUUUGCAUGGCGAUCACGUUGAAAUGUUGAAAAAUGGCCCAAUCUAAAAUAUAAUGUAAUUAAAAUUAGAAUGGUGAGUGUUGAAAGCACAUUAGAGUUUUAAUUUUUUACAUUUUUAUCGAAUUAAUGACAAUAACAGGAUGGAUGUUAUGGUACCAGAGCUGAUAAGAGUAAAAGUAAGCGGACACUCAGUAACUGGCUCUCCACCGGUGUAUCAAUCAAAAAAUAAUUAUUAGCUCAAUAGUGUUCACUUGAUGACCUAAAAAUGUUUUAAGUUUAAAAGGUUAGCCUUUUAAAGAGAGUACAACGAGGGUAAACACUGUUCUAUGUCAUCCCUGUUACUCACAUGUCAAAUCCUGUUACAGUGGAAACGUAACAGGGUUGACAGUAACAGGGUUGACAGUUACAGUUACAGGUUAAGUGUCCGAGAGCCGGAUAGCUCAUAUGUUACCUGCUUCUUCUACACCGGUAAUGUAAGGCUGCAAGCUAGCGUGAAAAGGAGUAGCAGCGCUGUCUCCACCCACAACUCAGAGGUGAAUUGCUAAUGAGCUGCUGGAGCUCUGCGGAAGAAAAGCACUUGAAAAUGACAAGGGUAACGUGAUUUUGGCUAAAAACUUAAUAAUCACAACUUAUAGACCACUGAUAACACUUUUGAGUAGUUAGUUGGACUUUAAGUCUGUACAGAUGAAAACUGUUUGGAGUGGUCUGUGGCUGCACAAGCAGCUUAGUAAAAAGGAAAGAACAGACAAUGAUAAAAGCCAUCUAAAAAAAGUAAAAAACUUACAGUAUUUAAAAAGUGAAGAUUAGUGACACAUUUUAACCUGAUUUAUUUGGAGUUGUACUUAGAGUUGCCAGCUGAAACAUGUCAGGCAAGAGAGUCAUUUAUGACUAUGACCUCAGCCAUACAUUGGGCAUUUUAAGGCACAGUAUUUUGACAUUUUUCAUCUCAUUUUUACUUGGUGAAAUUUGAGAUGUGCCUUCAUGGAUCAUUUCAACAAGCUACAGAACGAUAUUGGACUAUGUCAUCACUAAGGACUACUGUAAGGUAAUCAAGACAAUUUUAUUGUUGCUUUAGUCAAAAAUAGUGAUGUUGUUGUGUUGCACUCUUGUAGUAUACAGCUAGAAUUUAUACAAGGAACUUUCUCCUUAAAUAAAAAAUAAAAUUACUCUAAAGUUUAAAUUUUAUGAUAGUCAUAUAAUAAUAUCACAAAAAAAACUGUUAUUCGAGUACUUAAGAGUGGAUUUUGACUUGGUAUGUGUUUUAUUUUAACAGACUCCUUGAAAGAAAGGCAGGCAAUGGACAAGUUUCCCUUUCCCAUCUCUAAGACCAUUGUCCUGAAACACUGACAGAACAGACAAGCUCUUUCACUACACCCUGAAAGGCCCAGCUGCCAUUCAAGAAGCAGGAAGAAAAGCAGGAAAAAAGAAUCAGCAUCUCCUUCAGAAAGAAGUGUUGCUGUAGAGGACUGUGAGUCAGCACAGUGGAGCUUUGACAAGGUAGGAAGACACAAUUAAAAAUAAUCAGACUUCUAGCAGCUGAACUUCCUUGCAUCAGUUUCCAGGUCCAAGCCGUCUGUGAUACCCGACCAAGCAUGAAAUACCCUUAGACAUGGUUAAAACUCUCAGAGAAGUUCCCUCACCCCAGUAUCUGUGACUCCUGACUGAAACUUCUACCAUCGGCAACAUGAACACAUUUCAGGUGGCUAAUACUAUCCAAAGAAACUUUUCAUCAUGGAUAUUUGACCAAAACCACAAGGUGGCUCCAGAUCAGGGUAGAAACUGUUGGCCCUCUGCUGCUGCAAUUCCAA